rnacentral:lncRNA from 1 species
GGGGGAGGGGAGGGCUGGACACAAAGUCUAGUAUAUGGCUGUUAAUUGCUUGUGCUUUGUUACGUAGCACAUCUUCAUUCUCUUGCACUGCUAAUUUUCUUAAUCUCGACAGGCACUGCAACAGUGAAAAAAAUUGUAUGAAGCCACUGCUAAUGGUCUGUGCAUGGUGUUGCUACCUCCUUGUCUGGAGAAGUCACCCAUUUUCAGUGAUGAUGUUGAAUGCAGCUGUUGCUCAUCUCCAGAAGUGAUAUGUGUCUCUGAUUCUGGUUUUAUAUCUCAAGACAUCAAGCUUUCACCACAGCAGGUUAUGUGGCAGUAAUGGAAGAAAAUGAAUGUCAACAGCCUCUCUGUGGAAUGCACUGGAGGCUUGCAGGCAUGAAGGAGAGAAUGCUUUGAAGAGACAGCUACUCAGCAGUUGGGCCUUUUGAAAGGCAUUUUCGGGAUUAAGCCCGAAAGGCUUUGUGUACCUGAAAAAAAUGCCAUGGAUAAAGUGCAUUGAGUGGGGUGUAAACUUUUCUCACAUUUGUUUGAGACUGCUGUGGCCACCAUCAACUGGCAAGCUACCAAGUGUGGUUGUUUAGAUGUAGGAGAGACAUUGAGGUAUGCAGAUGUUGAGCAAUCACCGAUAAAGAUUAGGUUAGCUGUAGAGGGAAAAAUCCCAGUAGCCUAGCACAGUAUCUCCAUAACACAAGACUAAUUUCAACCUAGAAAGUUAAACAUUUCCAGAGAAGACAAACAGUACAGAAAAACAAAAUGGGAUCAGGAGAUUAAAAUAACAAUGCUGAAAACAAGUUCAUAGAAACCAGGACUUCAAUGAAUGGCUUGAUUCUGACUUUAUUUUUCUUUUCUUUUCUUUUCUUUUUUUUUUUUUUUUUUUUUUAAUAGUACAAGCUUCAGAGUAGCUACAACAGCUUAUAGAGUAGCUUCAGUUUCAACUUAUCCUUAGGGCUACUAUAUCCUGUUUACAUUUAUGAUCAGCUAAAAUACCAACAGCAGCAACCACCACAGUAUUACCUCUCAUAGUAUUUAUGGGAGGCUUAUUGUUUUGGAAGCAAGCCACUACACACUCAUAUUCACCCUGUUUGUCUCCCAAAGCUAUAGGGUGAGCAAGCAGGCACAAAUUAUCCGUAUCUUUGAUACAUCUCUGGUAUCUUGUAUCUGCUGAAGAAAAGGAGACCUCAUGUAGAAAGGCAGUACAAAUAGAAAGCCAGCCUUGCCUACAUUGCUUCAGGUCAGGAGACAUGAGUUGUUCUGGCUUAUUCAGGUGGAAAAGGUUAACAAAGAACAGUACUUUGCUGCCAGAACAUACAAGAGGAAAA